AACGCGAAGAACCUUACCAAGGCUUGACAUACACCGGAAUCAUGCAGAGAUGUGUGCGUCUUCGGACUGGUGUACAGGUGGUGCAUGGUUGUCGUCAGCUCGUGUCGUGAGAUGUUGGGUUAAGUCCCGCAACGAGCGCAACCCUCGUCCUAUGUUGCCAGCACGUUAUGGUGGGGACUCAUAGGAGACUGCCGGGGUCAACUCGGAGGAAGGUGGGGAUGACGUCAAAUCAUCAUGCCCCUUAUGUCUUGGGCUUCACGCAUGCUACAAUGGCCGGUACAAAGGGCUGCGAUACCGCGAGGUGGAGCGAAUCCCAAAAAGCCGGUCUCAGUUCGGAUUGGGGUCUGCAACUCGACCCCAUGAAGUCGGAGUCGCUAGUAAUCGCAGAUCAGCAACGCUGCGGUGAAUACGUUCCCGGGCCUUGUACACACCGCGCAUA
rnacentral:rRNA from 1 species